AUUGAACGCUGGCGGCAGGCCUAACACAUGCAAGUCGAACGAGUGGCGGACGGGUUAGUAGUGUCUGGGAAACUGCCUGAUGGACGGGGAUAACUACUGGAAACGGUAGCUAAUACCGCACACCAUCCGUUGUGCCCAGAUGGGUUUAGCUUGUUGGUGGGGUAACGGCACACCAAGGCGACGAUCCCUAGCUGGUCUGAGAGGUUGAACAGCCACACGGGAACUGAGACAGGGGCCAGACCCCUAGGGAGGACGGCGGUGGGGAAUAUUGCAAAAUGGGCACAGGCUAGAUGAAGCCAGGCCGCGUGUAUGAAAAAGGCCUCGGGUUGUAAAGUACUUUCAGCAGGGAGGCGUUACCCGCAGAAGAAGCACCGGCUAACUCCGUGCCAGCAGCCGCGGUAAUAC
rnacentral:rRNA from 1 species